rnacentral:rRNA from 1 species
UUACCGAGUGAGGGCCCUCUGGGUCCACCUCCCACCCGUGUCUAUCGUACCUUGUUGCUUCGGCGGGCCCGCCGUUUCGACGGCCGCCGGGGAGGCCUUGCGCCCCCGGGCCCGCGCCCGCCGAAGACCCCAACAUGAACGCUGUUCUGAAAGUAUGCAGUCUGAGUUGAUUAUCGUAAUCAGUUAAAACUUUCAACAACGGAUCUCUUGGUUCCGGCAUCGAUGAAGAACGCAGCGAAAUGCGAUAAGUAAUGUGAAUUGCAGAAUUCAGUGAAUCAUCGAGUCUUUGAACGCACAUUGCGCCCCCUGGUAUUCCGGGGGGCAUGCCUGUCCGAGCGUCAUUGCUGCCCUCAAGCACGGCUUGUGUGUUGGGCCCCCGUCCCCCUCUCCCGGGGGACGGGCCCGAAAGGCAGCGGCGGCACCGCGUCCGGUCCUCGAGCGUAUGGGGCUUUGUCACCUGCUCUGUAGGCCCGGCCGGCGCCAGCCGACACCCAACUUUAUUUUUCUAAGGUUGACCUCGGAUCAGGUAGGGAUACCCGCUGAACUUAAGCAUAUCAAUAAGCGGAGGAAAAGAAACCAACAGGGAUUGCCUCAGUAACGGCGAGUGAAGCGGCAAGAGCUCAAAUUUGAAAGCUGGCCCCUUCGGGGUCCGCGUUGUAAUUUGCAGAGGAUGCUUCGGGUGCAGCCCCCGUCUAAGUGCCCUGGAACGGGCCGUCAUAGAGGGUGAGAAUCCCGUCUGGGACGGGGUGUCUGCGUCCGUGUGAAGCUCCUUCGACGAGUCGAGUUGUUUGGGAAUGCAGCUCUAAAUGGGUGGUAAAUUUCAUCUAAAGCUAAAUACUGGCCGGAGACCGAUAGCGCACAAGUAGAGUGAUCGAAAGAUGAAAAGCACUUUGAAAAGAGAGUUAAACAGCACGUGAAAUUGUUGAAAGGGAAGCGUUUGCGACCAGACUCGCCCGCGGGGUUCAGCCGGCAUUCGUGCCGGUGUACUUCCCCGUGGGCGGGCCAGCGUCGGUUUGGGCGGCCGGUCAAAGGCCCUCGGAAUGUAUCACCUCUCGGGGUGUCUUAGUAGCCGAGGGUGCAAUGCGGCCUGCCUGGACCGAGGAACGCGCU